ACUACGGGUGGCAGCAGUGGGGAAUAUUGGGCAAUGGGCGCAAGCCUGACCCAGCAACGCCGCGUGAAGGAAGAAGGCUUACGGGUUGUAAACUUCAUUUCUCAGGGACGAAGAAAGUGACGGUACCUGAGGAAUAAGCCACGGCUAACUACGUGCCAGCAGCCGCGGUAAUACGUAGGUGGCAAGCGUUAUCCGGAUUUAUUGGGUGUAAAGGGCGUGUAGGCGGGAGCGCAAGUCAGAUGUGAAAACGCAGGGCUCAACCCUGAGCCUGCAUUUGAAACUGUGUUUCUUGAGUGCUGGAGAGGCAAUCGGAAUUCCGGGUGUAGCGGUGAAAUGCGUAGAUAUACGGAGGAACACCAGUGGCGAAGGCGGAUUGCUGGACAGUAACUGACGCUGAGGCGCGAAAGCGUGGGGAGCAAACAGGAUUAGAUACCCCUGUAGUC
rnacentral:rRNA from 1 species